rnacentral:rRNA from 1 species
UACAGAGGGGGCAAGCGUUAUUCGGAAUUAUUGGGCGUAAAGGGCGCGUAGGCGGCUUGGCAAGUGGACGGUGAAAUCCCUCGGCUUAACCGAGGAACUGCCCUCCAAACUGCUUGGCUUGAGUCCGGGAGAGGUGAGUGGAAUUCCCAGUGUAGCGGUGAAAUGCGUAGAUAUUGGGAGGAACACCAGUGGCGAAGGCGGCUCACUGGACCGGUACUGACGCUGAUGCGCGAAAGCGUGGGGAGCAAACGGG